rnacentral:rRNA from 1 species
ACAUGCAAGUCGAACGGCAGCACGGGUGCUUGCACCUGGUGGCGAGUGGCGAACGGGUGAGUAAUACAUCGGAACAUGUCCUGUAGUGGGGGAUAGCCCGGCGAAAGCCGGAUUAAUACCGCAUACGAUCUAYGGAUGAAAGCGGGGGACCUUCGGGCCUCGCGCUAUAGGGUUGGCCGAUGGCUGAUUAGCUAGUUGGUGGGGUAAAGGCCUACCAAGGCGACGAUCAGUAGCUGGUCUGAGAGGACGACCAGCCACACUGGGACUGAGACACGGCCCAGACUCCUACGGGAGGCAGCAGUGGGGAAUUUUGGACAAUGGGCGAAAGCCUGAUCCAGCAAUGCCGCGUGUGUGAAGAAGGCCUUCGGGUUGUAAAGCACUUUUGUCCGGAAAGAAAUCCUUG